UGCUGGGCUGCAGAGUGAGGAAAACCCAUCCCGGAGGAAGCUGGCGGUUAGGCUGGCUGAAGGCAUUCUGCAUGAUGAACACAACAGUUCUCAAAAAAGUAAUGAUGUCAUACCAGAGCAGCAGGAGGGGGUGGUCUGUGACCAUGUAUGCUUGAUAAAUUCUGGAUUUAAGCAAAGUAGGCCGGCUUCUUUGUCAAUAGACGUAUUGGGUUAUUCCCGGGGGGGCUGCAGCCGGAGCACCUCCCACUCCUUCGCAGGGGUUAUUUCUGAAGACCCCCUCUUGGAGGAGCUCUGCUAGGGCCCUGCGUGCACCUGCUGCCCUGGCAUCCUGGCCAGCAGCUCCGCCAGGCUCUAGUGUGUAUGGCCUGGGCUACCUCCCGGUACUGUCGCCGCAGGCCUUGGGACCCGUUCCCGCCGCGAGGCUCCCGAGGUAGCCCCGGCCUCCGGUUCUUCUCAGAUAGCCCCGUCGUCCAGCCCCAGAAGCGGGCACUAAUGCCUUCCCUGAACGCUGAAAGUUGUUGAAUGGAUAUGGACAAUGAUUAGAAUCAUGUAGAAAACAUUAAGUGAUGGUCAGUAUGUUCUGUUUGGGAAAUACUGAAAUGUGCAACACAAGCUAGAAAUAACAACAUGCAGAACAGCACAACUUUGUAAGACCCGCGCUGAAGGAGGCAGCAUUUGUGUGAGAGCGCCCGGCGCUGCCCAGAAGAGCUGGAACGCCCAAGGAAGGCCGCUGCUCAGCGCAGGACCCCUGGGCUCCCGGAAACGGGAUAGCGUUGCUUAUCUUUAAGCUCGUUGCUGUUCCUCCUAGAGUUGCAGAUUCAAGGGGCCUCACCAGUGACUGUGAUGACUGUAAAACCCAGGCUUGUGGGUGCUAUCUGGACACCAAGGAGACAGAGGCACAUGGCACCACCCAGGACAAGCACUGAAGUUGGACUACCAGGCAUAAGGAAGCCUGGCUGUUGCCAGCCUCUCACCUGCAGAAGAUGCACCUCAUAGCACCCUGGACAGGUGAACCAAGACACAUCACUGAAGUGCCAAUACAUGCACCCCUGAGGGCCCAAAGCCAACCUGAGGGCUCUGCCUGCCUGGCUCCCUGCACCCGAGUCCCCAGAAACGUGCUCACAGCACAGGGAGCUCCAGAGCCCAAGCCUCGGAGUGUUGGAAAACAACAUCAACAUGAGAAAUGGGUGCUAGGAGUACCUUUGUAGGUGACAUUAAAAUGCUUACAUUAGAUAGCAGAGAUGAGACCAAAGAAACUGGGGGGAGGGGGUGCCCCCAGCCCUGACACUGUGGGCCUUUGCCUGUAUGCAGCCUUUGCCCUGCAAGGGACAGCAGCUUCCUCUGCCUAUAAUACCUGCAAGCCUCCCAUUCUCAUGGAGUGCUUCCUUUUGGCUUUUUGCUUUUAGGUUUCUUUUGUUUGUUUUUAAUUUUAAGAAUAACCUGUUUGGAGAGCUGGGCAUGGGGGCUUGUUCCUAUAGUACCAGCUUCUCAGAAGGCUGAGGCAGAAGGAUCACUUAAGCCUAAGAGUUUGAGACCAGCUCUCAUAUAGUGAGACCUUGUCUCUAAAGAAAAGAAAGAAAAAGAACCUGUUUGGACACACAAAAUCUAACUUUUCCCCCUCUCUUCCUGAUCCCUUUCCAGCAGUGCUUUGGGGCUGAGCAGUAAAAUCCAAAAGAGAUUCAGUUGGGUAAAAUACUAAAAUCUAGCCAGGCACAGUGGCUUGCACCUGUAACCCCAGCACUUUGGGAGGCUAAGGCGGGAGGAUCACUUGAACCCAGGAGUUUGAGACCAGCCUGGGCAAAAUAGUGAGACCGUGUCUCUAUAAAAAAAUUUAAAAAUUAGCAAGGCAUGGUAGCAUGCACCUGUAGUCCCAGCUACCUGGGAGGCUGAGGUGAGAGGAUCGCUUCAGCCUGAGAGGUCAAGGCUGCAGUGAGCUGUGGUUAUGCCUCUGCACUCUAGCCUGGGAGACAGAGCAAGACCCCGUCUCAGGAAGAAAAAAAAAAGUCUGCUCUCCCUGCAAAUCGCGUGUGCUGGUGAUGAGGGAGGCAUGUGCAGUUCGUGAAAAAAUAGGGUUUCUGAUUUUCCACUCCUCAGGUACAGGGUGGGUGGGCCUGGGACUCCUGGUGAAGCCCUCUACAGGCAGGGUCAUAUCCUACCCUCAGGCUGGUGGGCAGGGCACACUCCACCCUCAGGCUGGUGGGCAGGGCACACUCCACCCUCAGGCUGGUGGGCAGGGUGGCCCUCAGUCUCAGGAUGGUGGAUGGGGGCAGACCCCCACCAUUAGGCAGCGAACAUGUGGGAAGACAGAAGAAAGAGGAAGGAAAGGCACUGAACAUGUCCACCAGGGUAUUGCCCAGGCCAGCAUAUUUGCAGGGUUAGUUUGUCCCCUCUGUCAGGAGGGGUCUUCAGCCCCUGGGGAAGUAAGGUGCCUAAGCUCUCACAGCUGAUAAGUGGCAGUUCUUGCAGAUGAGUCUGAGCUAGGUGCUAAUGCCUCAGUGCUCAUUUUUCCAGGCUCUGCACCACCAAGACCUUACUCAGGUGUGUCCAGGCCAGCAUUUCCCAAGGGCAUCUAGAGAUCACUGUGAUCACUGGUUGUUGAUGUUCAUUUCCCCCACUAGUGUCUAAGCCAUAUGAAAUUCAUAUUAUUUCUCAAAUCUGGCUCUCCCACCUACUGCCUGUGUGACUGCGGGGACAUCCCAGAGCCUCUCCAAGCCUCUUUUCUUAUCUAUAAAAUGAGAUGGUAAUAAUAACAUUGACCUCAGCCGGGCUCGGUGGCUCACGCCUGUAAUCCCAGCACUUUGGGAGGCUGAGGAGGUUGGAUCACCUGAGAUCAGGAGUUCCGAGACCAGUCUGGCCAUAUGGUGAAACCCCUUUUCUACUAAAAAUACAAAAAAUUAGCCAGACGUGGUGGCAGGCAUCUGUAAUCCCAGCUACUCCAGAGGCUGAGGCAGAAGAAUCACUUGAACCCGGGAGGCAGAGGUUGCAGUGAGCCAAGGUCGCACCACUGCACUCCAGCCUGGGUGACAAGACUCCAUGACCUCACAAGGCUGUUGUGAGCAUUAAAGGUCUCCAUCCACGUAAAGCACUUAUAAAACUGUCAAGCCCAUAAUAAGUACUCAAUAAAUGUCAGCUGUUAAUAUUGUUAUCUGAAAAUUCUGCCUCUAACCUGAGUUCUUAAUUGGGUUUACUUUUAAAGGGAUCAAAUCUAGUUCUCCUUGAGCACUUCAUAUACAAAGAAUGCAGAAUGAAAGGGCCCAUGA